AAUCAAGCGCGAGAAGGGCGUUUGGUGAAUGCCUAGGCAGUAAGAGGCGAUGAAGGACGUGAUACUCUGCGAUAAGCUAUGGGGAGCUGAGAAUAAGCUUUGAUCCAUGGAUUUCCGAAUGGGGCAACCCACCUGACAGUUUGUUAUAAUUGCUUUACGGCACUUUAUAAUGGAUUGAACCAGGUACUUUUAGACUGAAUACAUAGGUUUAAAAGAGCAAACCCGGGGAACUGAAACAUCUAAGUACCCGGAGGAAAGGACAUCAAUAGAGACUCCGUUAGUAGUGGCGAGCGAACGCGGAUCAGCCGAGCCUUGAGAGUGACUAGAACACAUUGGAAAAUGUGGCCAUAGCGGGUGAUAGCCCCGUAUAGGAAGCUCGAUGGGACGUAUUAAGUAGGGCGGAACACGUGAAAUUCUGUCUGAAGAUCGGAGGACCACCUCCGAAGGCUAAGUACUCCUUACUGACCGAUAGUGAACCAGUACCGUGAGGGAAAGGUGAAAAGCACCCCGACGAGGGGAGUGAAACAGUUUCUGAAACCGGACGCCUACAAGCAGUCGGAGGGACCUUGAGUCCUGACGGCGUACCUUUUGUAUAAUGGGUCAUCGACUUGGUCUCACAAGCAAGCUUAAGCCGUUAGGUGUAGGCGCAGCGAAAGCGAGUCUUAAUAGGGCGCAUGAGUUUGUGGGAUCAGACCCGAAACCGAGUGAUCUAGGCAUGACCAGGCUGAAGGUAAGGUAACACUUACUGGAGGGCCGAACCCACACCUGUUGAAAAAGGUCGGGAUGAGUUGUGCCUAGGGGUGAAAGGCCAAUCAAACUCGGAGAUAGCUGGUUCUCUGCGAAAUCUAUUUAGGUAGAGCGUCAUCCGAAUACCCCGGGGGGUAGAGCACUGGAUGGGUAAUGGGGCCCCACAGGCUUACUGAUCCUAACCAAACUCCGAAUACCCGGGAGUACUAGAUGGCAGACACACGGCGAAUGCUAACGUCCGUCGUGAAGAGGGAAACAACCCUAACCUCCAGCUAAGGCCCCUAAUUCAUGGCUAAGUGGGAAAGCAGGUGGGACGACCAAAACAACCAGGAGGUUGGCUUAGAAGCAGCCAUCCUUUAAAGA
rnacentral:rRNA from 1 species